UAGCCGACGAAGUAUAGUAAAUUUCGUCGGUUAUAGUUAUUUUUUAAAUUUUUUAUAAGGUUUAGCCGACGAAGUAUAGUAAAUUUCGUCGGCUAUAGUUAUUUUUUUUAAUUUUUUUAUAAGGUUUAGCCGACAAAGUAUAGUAAAUUUCGUCGGCUAUAGUUAUUUUUUUAUAAGGUUUAGCCGACGAAAUAUAGUAUAUUUCGUCGGCUAUAGUUAUUUUUAAUUAUUUAUUACACACUUUAGCCGACGAAUAUCUUAAUUGUUUCGUCGGCUAAAGUCUGGGAAAAAAACCGACGACAUGUUUUUCGUCGGCUAACUGUGGGACUAUAGCCGACGAAAAAAAAAUUUCAUCGGCUAAAGUCAUCACCGACGACCUUUUCCCGACGACACUAUAACCGAUGAGCAUUCGUCGGCUAAGAUCUUAGCCGACGAAUUAAGAUAACAGGCCGACGAAAAAUUUUCGUCGGCUAAAGUACUUGUCCUGGUAGUGCUUGGAAAGAACCACAACAAUAACAAGAUCACUAGAAAACAGUAAGAGAUGGAAAAACAGAAGAAAGAACUCUAUCGUUCUUGCUCUAAUACCAUGUAGAAAAAGAUGAAGAGAAAAAGAAAACUCUUGUAUUGAAAACAUUUAGGUUACAACCAAGUAUAUAUAUACAAGCCUAGCCAUAUCUAGCCAUACCAGCCAUACUCAUGAGUCAUGACUACUGACUUCCUUACACAGUAAGGUGGAUGACUUACUGUGUAAGGUAUGGUGCAGUCAACAUGCUACACCAUACUUUACUGUAGAGUAGGUAGGGUGAUGAGCACUACACCAUACUUUCUCUAUUGACUAUAUAUUUCUAUAUAUUUCAAUAGGCCAACAACUUUUGCUUAAUUUGAUCGACAUAAGUGUUAAGAUUGGCACCUAAAUUAUCUGUAAAUUCAUUCAAGAAAUAAAACAUGCGUAAUGAACAUAGUACAUUCAAUCAUUUAUGAGCAGGAUACUUGAAGAUAAAAGUAAAUAUAGCAUCGAUCGCAUGAAACUCAAGGUUUUCUCCACCAACUUAGCCAACUCUUUCACAUAAUGUGGCUUCUUUUCUACAGUUUUACAUGAAGAAAACAAUACAAUAUCAAAGAUUAUCAAAGGUUCC
rnacentral:lncRNA from 1 species